rnacentral:tRNA from 1 species
GGCGAGAUGGCCGAGCGGUCUAAGGCGCCAGACUAAGGAGGUGGGAUUCGAACCCACACCCCGUGAUAUCUGGUCCGAAAGGGCGUGGGUUCGAAUCCCACUCUCGUCA